rnacentral:rRNA from 1 species
GACGAACGCUGGCGGCGUGCUUAACACAUGCAAGUCGAACGGAAAGGCCUUUUCGGAGGUACUCGAGUGGCGAACGGGAGUGUAACACGUGGGUGAUCUGCCCUGCACUCUGGGAUAAGCCUGGGAAACUGGGUCCAAUACCGGAUAGGACCGCACAUCAGUGUGUGUGGUGGAAAGGUUUUUCGGUGUAGGAUGAGCUCGCGGGCUAUCAGCUUGUUGGUGGGGUAAUGGCCUACCAAGGCGGCGGCGGGUAGCCGGACAGAGAGAUUGGUCGGCCACAUUGAGACUGAGAUACGGCCGAGACGCGUACGGGUGGCAGCAGUGGGGAAUAUUGCACAAUGGGCGCAGGGCGGGUGAAGCGGGGCCGCGUGGGGGAUGACGGCCUUCGGGUGGAAGACAACUUUCGCCAGGAACGAAGCGUUUUGUGACGGUACCUGAAGAAGAAGCACCGGCUAACUACGUG